GGCGGUAGGCCUAAACAUGCAAGUCGAACGGCAGCACAGAGGAGCUUGCUCCUUGGGUGGCGAGUGGCGGACGGGUGAGGAAUACAUCGGAAUCUACUCUGUCGUGGGGGAUAACGUANGGAAACUUACGCUAAUACCGCAUACNACCUACAGGUGAAAGCAGGGGAUCUUCGGACCUUGCGCGAUUGAAUGANCCGAUGUCGGAUUAUCUAGUUGGCGGGGUAAAGGCCCACCAAGGCGACNAUCCGUAUCUGGUCUGAGAGGAUGAUCACCCNCACUGGAACUGAGACACGGUCCAGACUCCUACGGGAGGCAGCAGUGGGGAAUAUUGGACAAUGGGCGCAAGCCUGAUCCACCCAUACCGCGUGGGUGAAGAAGGCCUUCGGGUUGUAAAGCCCUUUUGUUGGGAAAGAAAUCCAGCUGGCUAAUACCCGGUUGGGAUGACGGUACCCAAAGAAUAANCACCGGCUAACUUCNUGCCANCAGCCGCGGUAAUACNAAGGGUGCAAGCGUUACUCGGAAUUACUGGGCGUAAAGCGUGCGUAGGUGGUCGUUUAAGUCCGUUGUGAAAGCCCUGGGCUCAACCUGGGAACUGCAGUGGAUACUGGGCGACUAGAGUGUGGUAGAGGGUAGCGGAAUUCCUGGUGUANCAAUGAAAUGCGUANAGAUCAGGAGGAACAUCCAUGGCGAAGGCAGCUACCUGGACCAACAC
rnacentral:rRNA from 2 species